UUCUUACUCUACUUAAUCUUCCUGUGGAACUUCAUUCAUUUCUACAGUUUCAACUAGUAUGCAUAUAUUCCUAUCUCUUAAAUAGUGAACACCAGCUUACCUACUGAAUAUUUAUCUUUGCUAAUUUCACUUCAAAAUCUAACAUAUACAAAACUUGCCAUGUCAUUUUCGUCUCCAAUUAUACUAAGUUUAGGUGUCUUAUCUCAGGGAACGGCAACACUCUCCAUUUGCUGCACAAGCCAGCUGCCUAGGCAGCAUCCUUUACCUGCCCCUCACCUAUCCCUCAUUUGGGAUGUCACAGCAACAAGACCUUGGCCAUAUAACAAUUGUUGAGAAACAAUAUCCGUGUUAGUCUUCUGAGGCCAUAGAGCUGCAGUGUGGAUGCAUAGCUGCGUAAUGGUAAAAAAAAAAAAAAAAAAAGAAUAAGAACUCAACUUACCUGUUUAACCCUGAAUAAUUAUUAUACAAAUCCUCAUAACAAUGUGAUAUAAUUUCUAAUAGUGCAGAGACUACAGCCAAUAGAAGGAACCCAGCUGGGACAUUUAGGUGUAUUUACUCCCCUACAUUAACUCUGUUUACAAUACUUAGGGAAGUUGACAUGUCUUUACUAGAGAGAGAAGAAAAAUUGUUCUUUAAUGAGAACCCCCAGAUAUGCUAUGGUUCUCUUCAACAUAUUGUUUUUGUUUAGUUUAGUUAUUAUUUUUUGUCAGAUAAACCUAUUUUAUAAUGAUGUUUGUGAUUGUUUUGAUGUCCUAUACAACAUUUACUUCAUCAAGCAAGUUGCAAAUUGACCUUCCACUAGAUGAAAACAUCAGAUGUUCAGCUUAUAAGAAAGAACAUUCCAGGAUCCUCAGAAUGGGAAAGUGGAAGACGGAAAGAGAAAACCAUAUGAAAAAAAGACACAAAUUUCUAAAAAAGCAUCCUGUCUUUGAAGAGUGGCAAAUACUAUUCUGUUUUUGAGUACAGAAAUAGAUCCAACUUGGAAUUAUAAAACAGAAUGUGCCUCAUCACUUGGACUUAACCAUAUGACUGGCUUUGACCAAUAAAAUAUAAGUGGAAAUUCUACUAUGCUACUUCCAAGAAAAGUCUUAAAGAAGUCUGGAAAAUUUCCACAUCUCUCUAUACAUGUCCUCUGUCCCCAAUCAGAAGAAAACAUACUAGGAAGUUGUUAAUUCUUUAGCUCAGAUCCUGGAAUGAAGACACCUGGAGUAUACUUGAAAGUCUGAAGUCCAGCUGACCCCCAGCUCAAAUUAGUGAAAGUACAGUCCACCAGCCAACCUGUGAGCAGUAAAUAAAUAUUUGUUUUAAGUUACUAUAUUCAGAAUAAUUGUACCAAAUUUAUCUCAAGUUAUCAGUUCUCCAGGGAUAGUAUGACAGCUACUUGUUGAGACCUUGGACACUUUUAUCUUUUAGGCACAAUAUAUUUAACUGACUUUCAUCUUCAAGCAAAGAGUUGUUCUCCAAAUGGCAAUUGGAAUUUGCAGGUAACAUUUCUAAUAUAUAUUUUGCCAAACUUACCUACAAUAGAGCCAUAAAACUAUAAUCU
rnacentral:lncRNA from 1 species